UGAGUCAUUUAAACCAAAUCUUUGACAUGUGGUUGGAGCUUUUGUAUUCUUCUCUUUCUCUUUGCUCAGCCAGGGGUUCUCAAAACUGAAGCUGUGUUUUCACGAUCUGGUUAAGCUGACCUGAAUAUGGAGCUGCCGCUGCAAGGACAUUUCAUCCACUCGUAUUUUCAUGUUUCCAACACUUUUUCUGCAUUAUCACUAUAGCUUAGUCUGGGGAACAGGUCAGGGACCCAUUUGCUUCAAUAAUUUUUUCCCCCCUUUUGAGCCAGGUUAGUUUUGGAGAUGAGCUAAACUGAUCCUGCUCACUUGAGCAAUUUAUUUGUUAGUGCUGGCAUAGAGGACAGUCAGAACUUGUGGCCAGAGGAGGGAGGAAAGCUGGAAAAGUCUCUUUCACUGGUAGCUGUCACUUCCACUGGCUUGAGUUAGUUGUGCAAGUGCAUCUUGAUGUGCAAAACUGCUUUGUAUUCACAGCUGCGGCUGAAGUCAAUGGAAAUUGUAUUUUAAAUGUGAAAAAGUAAGGUUUUAGCUGUAUCACUAGAUAUCCAAAAGUGCAACAUGCUACAAUAAGGAGAUUAAACCACAGAAGAAUCCCCUUGAAGCACCUGUCCAAAGCAGCAGCAAGUGGAGUAUUAUGUCCUGAGGCAACUACUGCAUCCUAGAUAGUUACCAAAUAUCACUGCAGAGGAAGCUGCCAAAAGCCAGUCCAUCAUAUUGAACAGUAGAAGAAUACUGGAGUCUCUCGGGUUGUCCUUCUGAGAAGCUGAGAGCUACAAUAGACUUUAGUUCUGUGAAGACAAAAAAGUAAAUGUUCUGCUUUUGUGGAACCAAGUAUUAGCACCAGAAAAAACUCAUCUUAAAUGUACAUGGGCCCUUCUCUUUGGCCCCAAAAUGUACAAUGGCUGCAUUAAAAAAAACCACAAACAAACAACAACCAAAAAAAAAAAAAAACCCACAAAAAAAAGACCCAAACAAACAAAAACAUAACUUCCUUCUCGACUCUGACUACAGAUACCCUGCCACCAACCAGAGCACUUGCAUCUCGGUAGACGCAGUGUAGUGUGUGGGCUGAGGGCUGGGAGAAUGCCUGCUGCAGCCCCACGUCACCUAAAACAUGGUCCCCCUGCCCCAGAGUGCAGGAUUACGUGCCUUGGACUCAGCACUUUAACAUGCAUGAAAAAACAAUUUAUUGCAAAGAAGGAAGGCUUCUGCAGCUAAGAGGUAGAUUAAGGGGUGUUUGAAAUCCAUCCUUCUCAGGCACCAGCAAGAGGUGCCUUCUACUUAGGUCAAUGACGGGGAAGAAUUUUGGGAAACAGGUGUCCAGUUCAGCCGUUUUUUUUAAAAGAUGGCAGCUUCAGAAGCAAUGGCAAUAGUUACCUUGGAAAUACAGGUCUAAUUCUCCCUCAAGACUCACCAUGAUGUAGAUUCAUCUCUCAGUGUUUUCCAGAAGCAUCUUUGCUGCCUGGCAAUUAAGCAGUCAGACAAGCAGUCUACCCCAUAUAUUGAAAUAAGGUUUCAACUCAUCCCAGGAUGUAUAUUCGUGUUUCCAGACAGGCAAAGAUACAUCUUGCCCGUGGCCAAAUGUCCAGACACUUAGCUGGGAGGAGUUCUGAGUUGGCUCUUUUGGACAAACUACCCAUGCAAUUCACAUUUGGCAAUUUGGUCAUGCAUAGAAAGAAGUUACUUAGCUAUUUAGUUAAAUAAUUAAAAACUAUUACAAGUAGAAAUAAGUAAGUUGAAAAUCCUUCAUUGCCUCUUACUAUGUCAGAGUGGGUUAACAGUAGGUUAGAAUACUUUGCUCUUAGACAGGGCUGCUUCUACACCUGAUUCAUAUUCUAAACUUCUGUGCAACUUUGUGUAAUGAAACCUAAGUGACAGGUAAUUUUAGGUUCAUUGUGGGUUAGCCAGCUGCUGAAGUCUGGGCUUCCUGGAUUGUUUUCCUGAUUUUAAUGUGCCCAGAUUCUGCCUAGACACUAUCUGGUACCACAAUUGAUCAUUUCAAGGUGCAUUAAGGUGCAAUUUCAGGUUAGUGAUUGGGACCACCUGCCUACCAUUCAGCAUGCCCAGCCAUGAGCUCCCAUUAAAAUCAGAGAAGUAGUCAUUACUUCUGGCAUAGGAGAACAAAUGUUCUGAUAAUUAUAGCUCUUCCAAGUAUUGUAUUAUAUAUCCUGUGGUGCUUUGGAGGUUUUCUUUUUUGCAGGAAGCUGAUGUAGCAAACUUCUUACAGCUGAGGCUGCUCUUAUUUCUGUGGCUGUCUGUGUACAGUGCACAGAGCUCAGCUACCAGCUAGCUUCAGAAGCUGUGAGGGAGGAACAGGGUCUUAAAACAGGUGUGUCCUAAAAUUGGUAUGAUGGAAUGAUCACUGCAAGUCCUCAUGCUUUAGGCUGUGACACUGGAGUGGCAGAGCGAUGGAUGGCAGAGGGAUGCUGGCAAGUCCCUCAGCUGUUUUCUAGUCCAGUCUUUCAGGUCACAUUUAACAGUGAUGUAAUAUGAUAUAACAUACAACAUUAUGUUAUAAUACGCUGUAAUUUUCAUAUAGGCUAGAGUGUGAUAUGGGUAAGGAAGUACAGAUACCUGUGUCUGCUUUUUCUUCCUGAUAUUUGUGUGAAAACCUGAACUUUUGCUUUGUAAAAUCGUGUUUUCAGAGCAACUGAGAUGAGCAAAUUGUGGCAUAUAGGGUGUACAGAUAGCAGUCACAUUGCUUUCCAUGUGGUGACGUGCAUUUCCUCUCUUACAGUUGUAAUAUGGCUUGUGCUCCUCUGACUAUAUUUGGGAAUAUUCCUGGUUUCAAAAAGAGAAAAACACAACCACUGAUAAUGUGGACAGAAGAGGAGAGAAACUGCUGUAGUGAAAUGUCACUUGGAAAGUCAGUUUUAUCAUAGGGAAGCAUGCAAGGUUUUUUUGUGUUUAUCAUCAUUAUGUGUGAAGGCCAGUGACAACUGCAUAAAUAGCAUAUAUGUGUGUACAGCUUGUUACCAUCACAUACUUUUAAUCUCUUUGUGGUGUUGGGAAAAAAUUGUAAUGCUCUAAGGACAAAGUUGAACAACUCUGUUAGUAAUCCUGGAAAAAAACCUGCAUGUCAUAACAAAACAAUGGAAUUUAAGUGAAUUUUCUGUAAAAUAACGCUUUUCCCCACUGAAAACAUAGAUGGAAACAAGUCAAGAUAAUAGGUUUGAGUAGGCUUGAAUACUUGCUGUCUUUAUUAAAAACUUAUAGGAAGUUGUCAGUCCUGCAGGUACUGCUCCUAAACAUUUAUUUGGAAUCAGCCUUUGUGUGUAUAGUAGGUUGUCUAGAUUUCUUAACUACAAAUAAAGGGUGUAUUUUUUUGUGUGCUCGGGCAGCCAACGAGGGCAAUAUCUGGGCCACAAGUAGAGAGUUACCAGGAGAAAGACAAGUCUUGUAGCGUAAUUAAUGAAGUUGCGGAGAAAUUUAAUUAAGUUUCUUGCUCUGCAUCAGUGUCAGAACAACAGAAUAGACAGCUCCUAGUUGUGUUAGUGCAGUCUCUCCAACUUUUCAGUCACAAUUCAUGUCCUAUCAGGUUUGGGCUGCUUUUAUAAGAGGUUGUUGGUUACUCAUCAGUGCAUCUCCAUGCAUUCCAAAUGGUUGGAAGUAAAAGGCAGUGUCUCAGGUUUUCGCACGCGCUGAAGCUCUCAGGCUGGAAGCUGACCUAUUUCCAGGAAGGAGCAGUCGGCUAACGAGGCCAAGAAAACUCGCUGGAAAGGAGGGGUGGAAGAAGGGUGGGAGGA